UGUAAAUAGGAGUUAAGAACCCCUGCUGAACCUGAGGCAUGGUUAACAUUACGGUAACUCAAUAUGACAUUAAGCAAUCUCAUGGAUUAAGGCUGAGAUUAUUCUUGACUAGUUACAGAGAUGAACAAAACUCCUGAAUAGUAAUGAUAGAACAAAAGUUCGUCAAAAUGUGAAGUUCCAGGUCACCUGCAAUUCUGUGACAAAGCUGCAUGUCCUUAAGUGCAAAAAAUUCUUCCAAUGUUAUAAUUACAGUAAGGGUGUGGGCCCGUGGGUCCCCCGUCCCCUUUGUCACAGAACCAGGCCAAACGCCUGUAAACCGUUGACAACUUCUGUUCAGUGCCACUGAACCUGCCCACAAGCAUGGACCCUAUUUGCAGCAAUGAUACAUACAUCUCAAGCUUGAAAGUUAGGUAUGAACUUGACAAAGUUUAAAUGUUUUCUGACUACAGUCACCCAGAGAAAACUAGUGACCAGAAAUCUGCUCAUUAUCUCUCAUCAUCUUGCA
rnacentral:lncRNA from 1 species